rnacentral:tRNA from 1 species
UGGGAUUAUAGUUAAAAUGUUGGUAAAACAUGUAAUUUGCGAUUACAAAUUAUUGGUUCGAGUCCGAUUAAUUCCAU